GACGAACGCUGGCGGCGUGCCUAAUACAUGCAAGUAGAACGCUGAAGGAGGAGCUUGCUUCUCCGGAUGAGUUGCGAACGGGUGAGUAACGCGUAGGUAACCUGCCUGGUAGCGGGGGAUAACUAUUGGAAACGAUAGCUAAUACCGCAUAACAGUAGAUGUUGCAUGACAUUUGCUUAAAAGGUGCAAUUGCAUCACUACCAGCUGGACCUGCGUUGUAUUAGCUAGUUGGUGAGGUAACGGCUCACCAAGGCGACGAUACAUAGCCGACCUGAGAGGGUGAUCGGCCACACUGGGACUGAGACACGGCCCAGACUCCUACGGGAGGCAGCAGUAGGGAAUCUUCGGCAAUGGACGGAAGUCUGACCGAGCAACGCCGCGUGAGUGAAGAAGGGUGUCGGAUCGUAAAGCUCUGUUGUAAGAGAAGAACGAGUGUGAGAGUGGAAAGUUCACACUGUGACGGUAUCUUACCAGAAAGGGACGGCUAACUACGUA
rnacentral:rRNA from 1 species